UACCAUAAAAACUCUAUAUCAAUAGUCAGUGACAACAUCUCAUCCGCAUUGACUUAUAUACGGUGGCUUAAUUGCUCUUUGGUACCAACCCCUUUCAAAUAUUUGAGAUUAUCUCUGAGUGGUUAGAGAUCCUCCAAGAGUGAUUAGGUGCCUCUUAUUCAACGUGUUGAGUCCCGACUAUCCACUUGGAAGAGCACAUUCUUAUCCUUUGCCAAUCGGCUUACUUUGAUUAACUCAAUUCUCGCUUC
rnacentral:lncRNA from 1 species